GUAGCCCCUGCCAGCUAUGUCACUUUUGCUUCCUUCUUCCUGAAGGGACCCGCAGCUCAAUGGUGGGACAGCCACAGGCGUACUCUGCCAGUUGGGACAAUCAUCUCCUGGCCAGACUUUCAGGCUGCCUUCCGUGCCCGCUUCAUUCCUCAGGGAAUCAUGGACAAGAAGAAGCGUGAGUUUCGAAACCUCACCCAAGGCAACAAGACUGUUGAAGCUUAUCAGCGAGAGUUUCUGGACUUAUCCCGCUAUGCUGAAGAAGACAUUGCAACUGAUGCACGCAGACAGGAGAAGUUCCGUGAAGGCCUUCAAGCUGACAUCAAGCUCGCACUUCUAGUGCAUGACUUUGCCGAUUUCGCCACCUUGGUGAAUAAGGCCAUCAAUGUUGAGACUGGUCUUCAAGAACACCAUAGCUCUCAAAGGCGCAACCGU
rnacentral:rRNA from 1 species